CUAACGCCAGGUAACGCUAGGUAACGCCGGCUAACGCUAGGUAACGCCGGCUAACGCUAGCUAAUGCCAGAUAAUGCCAGCUAACGCCAGCUAACGCCAGCUAACGCUAGGUAACGCCAGCUAACGCUAGGUAACGCCAGCUAACGCUAGCUUACGCCAGCUAACGCCAGGUAACGCCAGCUAACGCUAGGUAACGCCAGGUAAUGCCAGCUAACGCCAGGUAACGCCGGCUAACGCUAGCUUACGCCAGCUAACGUCAGCUAACGCUAGGUAAUGCCAGCUAACGCUAGGUAACGCCGGCUAACGCUGGGUAACGUCGGCUAACGCUAGGUAACGCCGGCUAAGGCUAGGUAACGCCGGCUAACGCUAGGUAACGCCGGCUAACGCUAGGUAACGCCGGCUAACGCUAGGUAACGCCAGGUAACGCCGGCUAACGCUAGCUUACGCCAGCUAACGCCAGGUAAUGCCAGCUAACGCCAGCUAACGCUAGGUAACGCCAGCUAACGCUAGGUAACGCCAGCUAAUGCCGGCUAACGCUAGCUUACGCCAGCUAACACCAGGUAAUGCUAGGUAACGCCAGCUAAUGCUAGGUAACGCCAGCUAACGCUAGGUAACGCCAGCUAAUGCCAGCUAACGCCACCGACACGCAUGGAGGAAACACUCUGACCAAUCAGGAGGCCGGUCGUUGAAUGAGGUCACGUUGUUGUUUAGAGAGCAUC